rnacentral:lncRNA from 1 species
UGCAUAACCAAUCCGGGUGUGAGACACGCCUCUCCUAGGCCUAUAUAAGUAGUACCAGUUCUGGGCUCGGGGUCUUUUCGCCUAUGCGGUCAAUGCUCUCCCAAUAAACACGUUGCAGAAGGAUCCUGUUGUGGCACCUCUCUUGCUGGCGAGUCGGGCGCUCACAAGUGGUGCUGAAACCCGAGAAAAGAAACAUCUUCAGGCACGAGCGAAGACCCCCUGUUAAAGGGAGGAUUCAGAACUGCAUCACAGGGAUUGAGCAGUUAAUGAAGUCUUCCCAUGAAGCAAUCUGUUGAGAAGGAUUCAACUGCGUGGAUUCAGAACUCUUCAGCUGGGGAACAGGGGUACAGGGCCCAGGCAACUCUGAAGGUGAAGAAGUGAAAUGAAAGUAAGAGCCAGAAAGAAUGAAGGACAUCAAAAGAACAAGGGCCUCUAAAUCAACAAAGCAAAGUUUAAAUAAACUCAAGAGACUAAAGCAUCUUGCACAGCGCUGGCCAAGAACUCUGGAGUGUAUAAAUGAGGUGGAGAGCAUCAGUAAUCCCACUCCUCUUCUGAGAUGAGAAGCCAAGGCAGACAGAAGAGGCCAGAAGCAUGAAACCGAAGAAGGGGAGACCCUGCCUCAAAGCAUGACCUUUGUUGUGAGCGCCCGACUCGCCAGCAAGAACGACCCCACAAUAGGAUCCUUCUGCACACGUUUAUUGGGAGAGCAUUGACUGCAUACCAAUACCUCAUUAAUAUGCGUCGGGCCAGGCAGUGACUCAGCAAAAAAAUCUUAUGCACAUGCACACAUUGGUUGUUUACCCAUAAUCAUGGGCAGUGGCCAGUGGUAGCCAGCGCCAUCUUGUAAUGGUGUUUGUGGCUUCCCACACUUUGUAAACACUGGCCUUAGACAAAUUAAGCAUCUAUUAUUGAUAAUGGAUGCUUAAUUUAAAGAAUAAUAAAAGGCUUUUUAAAAAUA